UACGUAGGGUGCAAGCGUUUGUCCGGAAUUAUUGGGCGUAAAGAGCUCGUAGGCGGUUUGUCGCGUCGAAUGUGAAAACCCGGGGCUCAACUCCGGGCCUGCAUUCGAUACGGGCAGACUAGAGUUCGGUAGGGGAGACUGGAAUUCCUGGUGUAGCGGUGAAAUGCGCAGAUAUCAGGAGGAACACCGGUGGCGAAGGCGGCGAUCUGGGUCGAUACUGACGCUGGAGGUGCGAAAGC
rnacentral:rRNA from 1 species